CCUACGGGAGUCAGCAGUGAGGAAUAUUGGUCAAUGGACGCAAGUCUGAACCAGCCAUGCCGCGUGCAGGAAGACGGCUCUAUGAGUUGUAAACUGCUUUUGUACGCGGGUAAACGCAGAUACGCGUAUCUGUCUGAAAGUAUCGUACGAAUAAGGAUCGGCUAACUCCGUGCCCGCAGCCGCGGUAAUACGGAGGAUUCAAGCGUUAUCCGGAUUUAUUGGGUUUAAAGGGUGCGUAGGCGGUCGGAUAAGUUAGAGGUGAAAUCCCGAGGCUCAACUUCGGAAUUGCCUCUGAUACUGUUCGGCUAGAGAGUAGUUGCGGUAGGCGGAAGGUAUGGUGUAGCGGUGAAAUGCUUAGAGAUCAUACAGAACACCGAUUGCGAAGGCAGCUGACCAAGCUACUUCUGACGUUGAGGCACGAAAGCGUGGGGAGCAAACAGGAUUAGAUACCCCUGUAGUC
rnacentral:rRNA from 1 species